GAUUGUGUAUAUCCCAAACCUCAUCAUCAAGCAAUAUUCCCAGGUAACAAACAGGCUCAUGUACCCUCUGAAUCUAAAAUAAAAUUUGAAAAAAAUAUGUA